rnacentral:lncRNA from 1 species
AGAUCAGAUGCAGUGAAAGGAGACAGGGAGGCGGGGCGAGGAGGAGCCAUCCCCAGUAGCAGCCCCCUGGCUGUUGUUCAGCACCAGGGAUCCUUGAUUUGCAGCAGGCUAAAGGGACAUUACAGGUCAUGGCUUUUACCCAGCUCUGUCAUCUAAAGUUAUUGACAUUAAAUAAAUGCUCACUUUUCAUUUGCUUCAAAUUAAAAAAAAAAUACAUGCCUUUAUUGUCUUUCUCUGCUAAGCCAAACCUGAGGCUUGUGCCAGCUCUUUCCAUGUGGAAAUGUUAGAUGAAAUUCCAGUGCCAUCAAAUGAGACCUUUAUUCCUCCACCUGCACAUUAGGACUCGAAUAAACACGUUAUCAGCUCGUGAAAAUGAUGGCAAACAGGUGACUGAAGGAUUUGAUAAGUCAGCAGCAAAGAUUAACAGUUCUUUUCAGAGAAAGCUGUGAGAGGUUCCCCUAUUUAAAACAAUUGUGGCAUGUGAAUUUGCAGCACUUAAAUCAUUAUCGGCAAUUAGUCCUUGUCAAAAAGGUUGCAGCUGGCUUCAAUUACAGGGGAGAAGGCAGCAAAGCACCCCAAUACGAAGAGAUGAAUGAUAAUCAAGGAAUGAGUGAAUUUGUCCAGUCGCGUAAACAUUGACAGAGACAAAGCAGCAUCACACUUCUUCAUUCACGAUUGCAAGUCCUGUGGCCUACCUGGUUGGGUGGUCCAGACUUCCACGCCUGAGAGCCCGAGCCCUUGGUCGUCACGUCCUCCUUUGGCUUUGGCUGCUGCUCUUGUCCAUUCACCAUCAAAUAUGGAUGAAAGAGUCCAAGGCGACACCUUGAUGGAUCUCCUGAGUGCCGAAUGGAGUCAGUAGCUUCAUUGUGCAGUAGCUUCAUCCUCCUGAGAAUCCCCCUGCGAUUCCCCAGCCUGCCAGGUGUCCCACAUGAACGCAGCCUGUUCUGGUUCUCCUUCCUGAUAAGAGUGGAAAAGAAUGCAUUCACCCGGUAUGGGCUGCAUUCCUGGGCCACAGGCCACCAAGCUCACCUGCACCAGGAAAGCUGCUCCCCACCAGUUACAAACAGCAACUGCCUGAUCGAGUUGCAGAUGUCCAUUGUCAUCCUCUAGGGUCUGUCGGGAUUUUCUAGGGCCAGACGUGAAUUAAAUAGGGGUGUGCUGGGUGCAGCCCUCGCAUCCUCUAGGUGUUUAAUCUCUGGCAUUUCCUCUGGGAUGUGAUAUUAUUUUUGAUUUCCUGCAUUGAUGUGUGUGUCUGGGAGUGGGGGGCCUCCACUUGAACUUCCCCAUGGUGGUAGUUCCUACCACCGACUCCUAGGAACUAAUGUGGCAGUUUUACCAAUUUCAAAAGUCAGUUUGAAUUCUACAUUUGGAGGCUGGGGAAAGGGCUCCUGGUUGGGUCUAUGGACCCAGGGGAGUCACUGUGAGCUGGGUUUGGUUACCUCUUCCUUCAAAACCGGCCCCUGCACACCUCCACUCUAACAGAGGGUUCAGGACCAGGCCUAGGUCCCUAGGUACCAGUGUCGCCUCAGAUCCUGUGCCCAGUGGUCCUCACAUGGCAUGUGUCUCUUUGUGGACGAUCUGGGGGAGAAUGUUUGUACAGACACUGCUGUGAUGGGGGAGAAUGUUUGUAUAGACACUGCUGUGAUGUUGGAGGGUCCUUCCUCCCGGGGCUCACCCUCUCCCUCAGUCAGUGGGUUCCAGGUCUGAAAAUGAGCUCAGCUCCAGGGCUGAAAUGUAGCUUUCUAUUGGUCAUUUUCCUGAAGCCUCUUGACUAGUUUCCCUUGAGAAAAGCUUUUGCUAAGGGUGUGUGGAUUGAGAGGUGCCCUUUUCUCCUGCUAUAUAUCUACCCUUUGCAGAUGGGGUCAGGUGCUCCAGCUGCCACUCUGGGCUUGAUGCCCUGUGUCACUGUGCCUACCUUGCUCCCUGCCAAAUGACACACUAGCUUCUGUUGUUGUGGGAUUCCAUUGGCCUCCUUUGCAUUCAAGAGUCCAAUUCUGUAACAACAGCAUAGCCGCCCCGCUUGUUUCCGCAGGCUCCCUCUCAGCAGUGCGUUCUUUAUCUAGCUGGUAACUGGCAUGUUCUCUGGUUGAAGGGCGUGGCUGGCUUUCCGAGCUGAUGUGCUGGACCUGCUCUAGAGGGCAUACUCCUCUGAGCCUUUCUGUCCCUUCCUUCAUGGGCAGGAGGGCGGCCCAGGCAUUUCUGCUUAACUUAGUAUGGACCUUUGCUUCCUUCAGGCUCCUAGGAGCCCUCCUAGAGCACGUUAGCACUGCUUAGGGGCCUUGCCAGAGUUUACAACCCUGGAUCAUGGAAGGGCAGGCCCACACUGAUAAACUCUCCCUAUUCCAAGCUUAGGUUCUGACCGUCUUAGUCUUGUACCCUCAGAACCCAGCCCCACACAUUCUCCUGGUUUCUGCCCAUGCCUCUCCAUGAGGUCUUGCAGCUUCUCUGGGGGCCUUUCUUCCUGUAGCAGGCACUUCCUGCACUUCCCCAUCUAUGUACUGCUGUGACCUGAACCUCAUGAUCAGCCCGGUUAGCGGGAGGGGAAGUGGGGGCAGAGGCCCAGGGGUGCAUGCAUCAGGGAGAUGCCCACAUUGUCUUGUGGGGCAGAGCUUCUGCAGCAGGGGUCCCCAGUCUUUCUGGCACCAGGAACUGGUUUUGUGGAAGACAGUUUUUCCAUAGACUGGGGGUGGGGGGUGGUUUCAGGAUGACUCAAGCACAUUACCUUUAUUGUACAAUUUAUUUCUAUUAUUAUUACAUUGUAAUAUAUAAUAAAAUAAUUAUGCAACUCACCAUCGUGUAGAAUAAGUGGGAGCCCUGAGCUUGUUUUCCUGCAACUAGAUGGUCCCAUCUGGGGGUGAUGGGAGACAGUGACAGAUCAUCAG